rnacentral:rRNA from 1 species
AGAGAGAGACAUGCGCGCAUAUCAAUAAGCGGAGGAAAAGAAACUAACAAGGAUUCCCUUAGUAACGGCGAGUGAAGCGGGAAGAGCUCAAAUUUGAAAUCUUCAAGGUUUUACCUUGACGAAUUGUAGUUUAAAGAAGUGUUUUCUGUUGAAGUUUUGGUAAAAGUUCUUUGGAAUAGGACGUCAUAGAGGGUGAGAAUCCCGUAUUUGACCAUUAUUUUCAGCUGUGUGAUACACUUUCAAAGAGUCGGAUUGUUUGGGAAUGCAGUCCAAAAUGGGUGGUAAAUUUCAUCUAAAGCUAAAUAUUGGCGAGAGACCGAUAGCGAGCAAGUACCGUGAGGGAAAGAUGAAAAGAACUUUGAAAAGAGAGUUAAACAGUACGUGAAAUUGUCAAAAGGGAAGCGUUUGACACCAGUGUUGUUUUCUCGAAAAUCAAUUAAAAAAGGCCGGAUUUUGUGUUGUAUUGACCUUAAAAGCUUUCUUCACUCUUUUCUUGUCUUUUUUAAUGCACUUUUCGUUUAACAAGUCAACAUCAGUUUCUUUUGUUGUAAAAGGGUCAUUGGAAGGUGGCUUUCUUUUCGGAGAAAGUGUUUAUAGCCUUUGAUCUCUGCAACCGGAGAGACUGAGGUCUGCAGCGUAGACUCUUCGGGGUUAGAUACAUUUGUGCUAAGCUAUAGCUUUUUAUAGACAACUUGUUGACUAUAUUUAGUCUUGUGGCUUACUCGCUUAUGCUAUUUUACCUACGCUUAGGAUGUUGACAGCAGUAUAGACUGU